rnacentral:rRNA from 1 species
GAUGAACGCUGGCGGCGUGCCUAAUACAUGCAAGUCGAGCGAACAGAUGAGGAGCUUGCUCCUCUGACGUUAGCGGCGGACGGGUGAGUAACACGUGGAUAACCUACCUAUAAGACUGGGAUAACUUCGGGAAACCGGAGCUAAUACCGGAUAAUAUAUUGAACCGCAUGGUUCAAUAGUGAAAGACGGUUUUGCUGUCACUUAUAAAUGGAUCCGCGCCGCAUUAGCUAGUUGGUAAGGUAACGGCUUACCAAGGCGACGAUGCGUAGCCGACCUGAGAGGGUGAGCGGCCACACUGGAACUGAGACACGGUCCAGACUCCUACGGGAGGCAGCAGUAGGGAAUCUUCCGCAAUGGGCGAAAGCCUGACGGAGCAACGCCGCGUGAGUGAUGAAGGUCUUCGGAUCGUAAAACUCUGUUAUUAGGGAAGAACAAAUGUGUAAGUAACUAUGCACGUCUUGACGGUACCUAAUCAGAAAGCCACGGCUAACUACGUG